rnacentral:rRNA from 1 species
GGAUAACGUUUGGAAACGAACGCUAAUACCGCAUGAUAUUAUUGGGCAGCAUUGCCUGAUAAUCAAAGGAGCAACCCGCUGAAAGAUGGGCUCGCGUCCGAUUAGGUAGUUGGCGGGGUAACGGCCCACCAAGCCGACGAUCGGUAGCCGGACUGAGAGGUUGAACGGCCACAUUGGGACUGAGACACGGCCCAGACUCCUACGGGAGGCAGCAGUGAGGGAUAUUGGUCAAUGGGGGAAACCCUGAACCAGCAACGCCGCGUGAGGGAAGACGGUUUUCGGAUUGUAAACCUCUGUCCUCUGUGAAGAUGAUGACGGUAGCAGAGGAGGAAGCUCCGGCUAACUACGUGCCAGCAGCCGCGGUAAUACGUAGGGAGCAAGCGUUGUCCGGAUUUACUGGGUGUAAAGGGUGCGUAGGCGGCUUUGCAAGUCAGAAGUGAAAUCUAUGGGCUUAACCCAUAAACUGCUUUUGAAACUGCAGGGCUUGAGUGAAGUAGAGGUAGGCGGAAUUCCCGGUGUAGCGGUGAAAUGCGUAGAGAUCGGGAGGAACACCAGUGGCGAAGGCGGCCUACUGGGCUUUAACUGACGCUGAGGCACGAAAGCGUGGGUAGCAAACAGGAUUAGAUACCCUGGUAGUCCACGCUGUAAACGAUGAUUACUAGGUGUGGGUGGACUGACCCCAUCCGUGCCGGAG